UGGGGAAUAUUGGACAAUGGGCGAAAGCCUGAUCCAGCCAUGCCGCGUGGGUGAAGAAGGUCUUCGGAUUGUAAAGCACUUUAAGUGGGGAGGAAGGGCAGUAAGCGAAUACCUUGCUGUUUUGACGUUACCGACAGAAUAAGCACCGGCUAACUCUGUGCCAGCAGCCGCGGUAAUACAGAGGGUGCAAGCGUUAAUCGGAAUUACUGGGCGUAAAGCGCGCGUAGGUGGUUCGUUAAGUUGAAUGUGAAAGCCCCGGGCUCAACCUGGGAACUGCAUCCAAAACUGGCGAGCUAGAGUAGGGCAGAGAGUGGUGGAAUUUCCUGUGUAGCGGUGAAAUGCGUAGGUAUCGGAAGGAACACCAGUGGCGAAGGCGACCACCUGGGCUCAUACUGACACUGAGGUGCGAAAGCGUGGGGAGCAAACAGG
rnacentral:rRNA from 1 species